rnacentral:rRNA from 1 species
UACAGAGGGGGCAAGCGUUGUUCGGAAUUACUGGGCGUAAAGGGCGCGUAGGCGCCUGUUAAGUCGAACGUGAAAUCCCCGGGCUCAACCCGGGAACUGCGUCCGAUACUGGCAGGCUUGAAUCCGGGAGAGGGAUGCGGAAUUCCAGGUGUAGCGGUGAAAUGCGUAGAUAUCUGGAGGAACACCGGUGGCGGAAGGCGGCAUCCUGGAC